UAGUGUUAAGAGUUCUGUAGAUGAUUAUGAGAUCUCUUGAAACAACAGAAUGUUUAAUAAAGAUUUUUAACUUUCCUAAUAGUAAAAUUACAAUUAUUACUAAACAGUAAGUUGAAGUAAGUUUUAAAUUAAGAGAAUGCAACUAACACCGAAAGAAAAAUGAAAGUUACUGAAAAUAAAAAACUUUAUUGCAGUACCUACAUACACUUUCUACAUCUAAUUUUGUUUAUUGAUCACAUUCAUUUACUUGAAAAAGUAUCAGGCCUAUGAAUCGUCGUCUGGAAACAGCUAACCACACACCAACCUUCAUUGCGUGUGAUGGUGUUUCUUCAAAAGCCCUAACAGAUGAAACCAGGCUUCAUCAGAAAAGAACGACAAAUCGAGAAUCCCGUUAUCGUCCAUAUCAGCUUGAAACCAACUACAAUACCCAACGCGGCAAGGAAAAUCAGCUGGUUGCAGCUCCUGAACCAACAAAAUCUUGUAUGGAUGCAUAUGUAACUUCUCUUUUACGAUUUUCUGACAUGGGCUGUAUGGUACUCCGGACAGUAAAGAUUUUUGACAAA